CAGAGUUGCAAAACUCCCUUAAACCAUCGCGAACGUACCCGUACCGUUGCUUCGGUGGGCGGCUCCAGGGCGGAGCCGCAGCCUUCACAGGCGCCCGCCGGAGGACCUAUACCUAACUAUUUAUCUUAACUGGCCUCUCUGAGUAUUUUUAUAAUAAGUAA
rnacentral:misc_RNA from 1 species